UACGAAGGGGGCCAGCGUUGUCCGGAAUCAUUGGGCGUAAAGCGCGCGUAGGCGGUCAGGUAAGUCCGGUGUGAAAGUCAAAGGCUCAACCUUUGAAUGCCGCUGGAUACUGCUUGACUUGAGUCCGGAAGGGGCGAGUGGAAUUCCUGGUGUAGCGGUGAAAUGCGCAGAUAUCAGGAGGAACACCAAUGGCGAAGGCAGCUCGCUGGAACGGUACUGACGCUGAGGCGCGAAAGCGUGGGGAGCGAACAGG
rnacentral:rRNA from 1 species